UAGAUUAACAUGAAUGUUUUGUUUGGUGUUUGAGGUUGAGUUGCACUCUUUUGAAAGCAUUGUUCCUUGAGGACAAGCAACAAAUUAAGUUUGGGGUUGUGAUGAAUCUUCAUCAGUCGUUAUUUUUAGAGUCUUUUUAAUUAAGUUUUUAAUAUAAUUUUAUUAGUGUAGUGUUUAAUUUAGAGUCAUUUUAAAUAAAUUGCAAAUUUUGGUUUAUUGAGUCAAUUAAAUGUUUUUCUCUAUUAAAAUAAUAUUUGGUGUAGUUUCUAUUUUCUUGAUUCAAUUUAAUAGGUUUAUGGUUAAGUGUGGUACAAAUGGUAAAAGAAGAGAAAGACUUUAAUAAAACUGGGCCAAUUACAAGAAGAAAACAUGGGUCAUUUUCCUUAACCCAAAACCAAGAAGAAAGGGAAUUAGGUUGGCACUUGAAAGAGGGGAGAGAGACAUCACGUAGAAGGAGGCUGGGAGAGACUGAAAGCAAAGUGGGAAAUUAGGCAAACACGCAGCAGGACGACGUGACAGAGAGGUGCUAGCUUGGCUUCAAGGAAGGCACGGGAAGAGUGGACAAAUUCAAAGCAAUCCAUUUUUGGUUUAUCCCUUUUAAUCAUCCUUGUUUCUUUGAAUAUUAUGUCUAGCUAAAUUUCCAUGAUUGGUCCUUAGGGGAUUCUAAUUGUUAUUUUUCUUGAACAAUGUGAUUAU
rnacentral:lncRNA from 1 species